AGCCAUUAGAUGAUACUAUAUGGUUUUACCUGCCCAAUGUUACGAUGAAUGGCCGCGGUACCCUGACCGUGCUAAGGUAGCGUAAUCAGUUGACCUUUAAAUGAGGUCAGGAAUGAAUGGAAUAACCGGGUUUAGCUGUCUCCAAACCAUUAUAUUGAAUUUACUAUCUAAGUGAAAAAGCUUAGGAUUUAAAAAAGGAGGAGAAGACCCUUAGAAUUUUUUUAAAAAGGAACAUAUUUUCCUUACAGUUUUAUUGGGGCGAUAAAGAAAUAAUUAAAACUUUCUUUUUUAACAAGCCGAUUGUAUUAAGUAAGAAUAAAUUACCUGAGGGAUAACAGCAUAAUUCUAUAACUGAGUUUGUGACCUCGAUGUUGGACUAGGAAACCAGUAGGCUAGCCGUUUACUGUGUUAGGUUCUGUUCGAACUUUUAUUCCU
rnacentral:rRNA from 1 species